ensembl:lincRNA
AAAUUUAACUGCUUAAAACGGUCAACAAAAAAAAAUUAUUAUUUGGAAAAUACUCCUUGGCUGAUUUACGUUACCGAGUUUUCUUUUUAUGAAAAACCUCUUCCCGUGUUUAGAAGAUCGGGUCAGAAGUCGAGAAUUCCACUAUUGAGAAACAGCGCAAGGAGCUGCAGCUGCUCAUCGGAGAAUUAAAAGAUCGGGAUAAAGAGCUCAACGACAUGGUGGCGGUGCACCAGAGGCAGCUGCUGUCCUGGGAGGAGGACCGCCAGAAAGUGCUGACCCUGGAGGAGCGCUGCAGCAAGCUGGAAGGUGAACUACAUAAAAGAACAGAAAUAAUCAGAUCACUCAUGAAGAAGGUCAAGGUCCUGGAAUCCAAUCAAAUCGAAUGUCAGACAGCUCUCCAGAAGACUCAGCUACAGCUGCAGGAGAUGGCUCAAAAGGCAACACACUCUUCCCUUCUCUCCGAGGACCUUGAGGCUAGAAACGAGAAUCUCAGCAGCACAUUGGUGGAGCUUUCUGCUCAGGUGGGACAAUUACAAGCUAGAGAACAGGCUCUCACUACAAUGAUAAAGCUGAAGGACAAAGAUAUUAUCGAGGCCGUCAAUCACAUUGCAGAUUGUUCGGGUAAAUUUAAAUUGCUAGAGCAUGCUUUGCGUGAUGCCAAGAUGGUGGAGAAUUCUAUUGUGAAAGAAAAGCAAGACUAUAAACAGAAGUUGAAGGCACUCAAGAUUGAAGUCAAUAAACUAAAAGAGGAUCUAAAUGAAAAGACAACAGAAAACAACGAACAGCGGGAAGAGAUCAUUCGCCUCAAGCAAGAGAAGAGCUGUCUGCAUGAUGAACUGAUCUUCACUGUGGAGAGAGAAAAGAGGAAAGACGAGCUACUGGAUAUUGCCAAGUCAAAGCAAGAACGUACGAACUCAGAACUCCAUAAUCUGAGACAGAUUUAUGUAAAGCAACAGAGUGAUCUUCAGUUUCUUAAUUUCAAUGUGGAAAAUUCUCAGCAAUUUAUACAGAUAUGUGACUCAAAGAUGGAGGAAUCAAAGACCCUGGAAUCCAGCAGUGCCAUGUGUUUAUCAGACCUUGAGAACGACCACCGGAAAGUCGAUGCUCAGAGAGAGAAGUCUUCGGUCACGGACCACAGAUUCGAGGCCAGGUUGGCCCAGCACAAUCGGUCAGAGAAGAGCUCUUGUAAUGCUUGCAAAGAGAAGAAAUUGCAGACCGGUACUGCGGCGGGGGAAAGUGUGAUUACUCUCUCUUCUCUGUUUACCAAAGACUUGACGGAGAAACCGAGGUCUUGGCCUCCGGGUGCAAAACUCCGGACUGACGGGGCCAGGCUCCGGGGCCUGGAGGAGGGGCGGCGGCGCGACCUCGACCUCGACCUCGACAUCUACCUGGGCCUGGCCGGGAGGGCGGACGCCGAGGAGC